CAGAAGUCUGGCAUUCAUUCUAAAUGGACCUGGAGGCUGAGGAGCCCUGGAGUGGUUCCAGCUGGUUCAAACUCUGCCAGCACGUUUAGUUUUUAUCCUUAGGUUUGAUGCUUUUCCGUCACCAAAUGGUUGCCAUACCCACAAGGAGUGCAUCUCAACAAGGUGUUGUAAGUCAUUGCCUGCCAACAGCCUACCACAGUCUUGGGAGUGAACUCCAACAGUUACCAUCAUGACUGCUGAUGCAUCCCAUCAAGGAUGGAAAAAUGGGCUCCAAAUGCUGUUGCACUAUUCCUGAAAGGUA
rnacentral:lncRNA from 1 species